AGUGAACGCUGGCGGUAGGCCUAACACAUGCAAGUCGAACGGCAGCACAGUAAGAGCUUGCUCUUACGGGUGGCGAGUGGCGGACGGGUGAGGAAUACAUCGGAAUCUACUUUUUCGUGGGGGAUAACGUAGGGAAACUUACGCUAAUACCGCAUACGACCUACGGGUGAAAGCAGGGGAUCUUCGGACCUUGCGCGAUUGAAUGAGCCGAUGUCGGAUUAGCUAGUUGGCGGGGUAAAGGCCCACCAAGGCGACGAUCCGUAGCUGGUCUGAGAGGAUGGUCAGCCACACUGGAACUGAGACACGGUCCAGACUCCUACGGGAGGCAGCAGUGGGGAAUAGUGGACAAUGGGCGCAAGCCUGAUCCAGCCAUACCGCGUGGGUGAAGAAGGCCUUCGGGUUGUAAAGCCCUUUUGUUGGGAAAGAAAAGCAGCAGGUUAAUACCCAGCUGUUCUGACGGUACCCAAAGAAUAAGCACCGGCUAACUUCGUG
rnacentral:rRNA from 1 species